rnacentral:tRNA from 2 species
GGGCUAUUAGCUCAGGGGCGAGGUCUCUGGUUCAAGUCCAGGAUGGCCCA